rnacentral:Y_RNA from 1 species
GGCUGGUCCGAAGGUAGUGAGUUAUCUCAAUUGAUUGUUCACAGUCAGUUACAGAUCGAACUCCUUGUUCUACUCUUUACCCCCUUCUCACUACUGCACUUGACUAGUCUUUU